rnacentral:rRNA from 1 species
CCAGCAGCUGCGGUAAUUCCAGCUCCAAUAGCGUAUAUUAAAGUUGUUGCAGUUAAAACGCUCGUAGUCUGAGUUUGGCGGUUGGGUGUUUUGGUGGCAGUAAUGUCAUUGGAGGACUCGACGCUUUUGUCUGCCAGAGAUGGUGGGAGUUACUUUGAGGAAAUUAGGGUGUUCAAAGCAGGCGAGAUGCUUGGAUACUGCAGCAUGGAAUAAUGGAAUAGGGCUUGCCGUCUUAUUUUGUUGGUUUGGAGGGGCGAGUAAUGAUUAAUAGGGGCGGUUGGGGGCAUUGGUAUUUGGUAGCUAGAGGUGAAAUUCUUGGAUUUACCAAAGACUAACUAGUGCGAAAGCAUUUGCCAAGGAUGUUUUCAUUGAUCAAGAACGAAAGU